rnacentral:tRNA from 1 species
GCGUACAUGGACAAAUGAAUAAGACGUUUGACUUCUAAUCAAGCGAUUAUGUAUUCGAAUUUUAUUAGGCGUG